AAAAAUCAUAUUAUAGUAUUAUAACCGAAAUCAGAUAUUUUUAAAGAUGCUCCAAAGGUUAAUCAAAGACAUAUCACAAUCUCGCUGAAACAUUGAGCAGUGGGCACCUUAAUACAAUAAUUGAGAUUUCUAUGUCUCCGGCAAUAUCUUUUCGUAUAUAUCAAGUACAAAAUUAGGAACCGACACACAUAAUUGCCACAGGUUAUUAAUUAAACGAAAAGAACCAAACCGAAGAAGCAGAGGAAAUCUACCAAUUUGAUUUCUUAGUAAGAAAUCUGCGAAGUGGACAACAUCUGGGUCGGGCAUUAAAAAUUAGAAUUUGGAUGUAUUAGGAGAUUUUAGUAAAGAACUGUUUUGAUCUGAGUCCAGUACUUUUCUUUAAGAAGUAAUAAAGGGUUGGCCUGGUACAAGACACGGCAAGCAAGGAUUCAGAGUUGGCUAACAUUCACAAAGGGUGUGAUUUUAAUUUUCGUUGUCGAUAAUGACAUAUUUGAUUAGUUAUUUGUAAGUACCUCUUUCGAUAUUAUUUGAGGCUUGAAAUCUAUCUUGACUCUAAUGAACUCUUAAAACUCAACUUAUUUAACCUUUCAGGAUAAAAAUAUAUAAUAUAAAAACGAAACAUGAGGUUCCAAAUCUAAGAUAUUGUGAAAACAAAAACCCAAAACUAACACGAAUCAAACACCUUUCACUCCCACAGAUAAUUACAAACAUUCUUAACAUUCUAAAGGUUGAGUUCACUGUUGAGGAAGCGCAAAGGUGAAUCCACAAACAUGAACCUUCAUAUACCACCAUGAUAGAAUCUUUUAUGUUACAAUAGUUAAUGCAACUCACCUUCUUUUGAUUUAAAAAACAAAGAAGAUUUCGAGAUCUCCAGUUCAACCACAUACAACUCAACCAUAUCACCAUCUAAGCCUUGUAAUUCACCUUUCUACCCCGCUAAACCACCGACUAAAAGGGCUAAUUCAUCGACAUCGUUUGAUAUAGGAGAUGAAACAGUGGUGGAUCCAUUGUAUAAUUAGUGGGAGCUCUUGCCUUCACAAGAAAAUAAAACUUAUUUUAAUAAUAAUAUUAAUUUAUUUUAAGCCCCUAUAAAACUAUCUAUGUUGUUUAUUCAAUGAGUAUUUAUUUCUAAAUUUAGUUUUGGUUGUUUGUGGCAACUACAACUAUUGGUAGUGGGAAUGAAUGGAUGAUGAUACUUAUCCUUUAGGUAUCAGGUUCGAUUUCUACAGAAGGUAAACACAUAUUAUUUCUUAUGGAGAUGAAGGGAGCGAAAAUAUCGUGAUUUACAGCACCGAUAACCUUAAAGGUCUGAUUGCUACAAAAAAGACAGCUCAAUUGAUAGUUGGAAUGAAUAAGCGGCUAUAGUUAUCCCAUUGAUAUCGGGUUUGAUUCCCACGAAUGACAAAAACUUGCUAUUUCCUAUGGAGAGGAAGAGGGUGAGAAGGUCAUGAUUAACAGUGCUGAUAACAAUAAGGACCAAGUUGUUACUAUUAAGUUUCAUUCGGAUGAUUCAAUACCCACCUAUCUAUACUAUUAACCUACAAGGAAACAUUAUCCAACUUAAAGACACACUUCCUCCAUAACCCCUCCUUCCAAAGAAACAACCUCCUCCACCACCUCCACUCAUCUCUUUUAACUCCUACCCACUUGCUAAACAUCUCACACACAAGUACAUCUUUAUUCACCGCUAAAAUAAACUAUUGACCAAAUCUCUAUCUCAAAAUAUCUCCCCCUAACCAACGAUCCUUCUAAAAAUGAGUAUCUUUGUCAUCCCUUAUUUCUUUACAUAAUCCGCUACCAAAACAACUUCUUCCCUCUCCCUCCCUUCUUUCGCAAAGCAACAUUAUACCCCUCCACCAAAGUGAAUCUUUACACCACCCUCCCCCCACCUUACCUCCAUUAAACUUAUACUUACGCUUUAACAACAUAAACCACAAUCCCUUUAAAAUUAUAUUGAAAACUAUCAAAAGUCUUCAAAGUUCUCUAAACGCAUUAUGCUC
rnacentral:lncRNA from 1 species